rnacentral:rRNA from 1 species
CCUACGGGUGGCUGCAGUGGGGAAUAUUGGACAAUGGGGGGAACCCUGAUCCAGCCAUGCCGCGUGUGUGAAGAAGGCCCUCGGGUUGUAAAGCACUUUCAGUGAGGAAGAACGCCUAGUGGUUAAUACCCAUCAGGAAAGACAUCACUCACAGAAGAAGCACCGGCUAACUCCGUGCCAGCAGCCGCGGUAAUACGGAGGGUGCGAGCGUUAAUCGGAAUUACUGGGCGUAAAGCGCGCGUAGGUGGCUUGAUAAGCCGGUUGUGAAAGCCCCGGGCUCAACCUGGGAACGGCAUCCGGAACUGGCAAGCUAGAGUGCAGGAGAGGAAGGUAGAAUUCCCGGUGUAGCGGUGAAAUGCGUAGAGAUCGGGAGGAAUACCAGUGGCGAAGGCGGCCUUCUGGACUGACACUGACACUGAGGUGCGAAAGCGUGGGUAGCAAACAGGAUUAGAUACCCUAGUAGUC